rnacentral:tRNA from 1 species
GUUUGUAGCUCAGUGGUAGAGCACUCGCCUCACAUGUAUGAAGCACUGGGUUCAAUCCUCAGCACUACA